rnacentral:rRNA from 1 species
AUCGAUGAAGAACGCAGCGAAAUGCGAUAAGUAAUGUGAAUUGCAGAAUUCAGUGAAUCAUCGAAUCUUUGAACGCACAUUGCGCCCCUCGGUAUUCCGGGGGGCAUGCCUGUUCGAGCGUCAUUGCACCCCUCAAGCGUAGCUUGGUCUUGGGCCCUCGCCGUCGUGGCGUGCCCGAAAAUCAGUGGCGGUCCGGGCCGGCUUCGAGCGCAGUAAACAUUAAAACCGCUCCGAACGUUCGGUCCGCGACUGGCCAGACAACCCCGUCCAUUCUAUGAUUGACCUCGGAUCAGGUAGGGAUACCCGCUGAACUUAA